rnacentral:rRNA from 1 species
CAGCAGCCACGGUAAUACGUAGGGUGCAGGCGUUAAUCGGAAUUACUGGGCGUAAAGCGUGCGCAGGCGGUUAUGUAAGUCAGAUGUGAAAUCCCCGGGCUCAACCUGGGAACUGCAUUUGAGACUGUAUGGCUAGAGUGUGUCAGAGGGGGGUAGAAUUCCACGUGUAGCAGUGGAAUGCGUAGAUAUGUGGAGGAAUACCGAUGGCGAAGGCAGCCCCCUGGGAUAACACUGACGCUCAUGCACGAAAGCGUGGGGAGCAAACAGGAUUAGAUACCCCAGUAGUCCCUGUCUCUUAUAC